AUGUCAUGGGAUAGAAUGACUCAAACUAAAUCGCAAGGCGGAAUUGGAUUGCGUGACAUGAGAAUUUUGAAUCAAGUUUUGUUGGCGAACCAAGCAUGGAGACUUAUUCAAAGGUCGGGCAGUAUGUGUGCAAAAGUUUUGAAGUCAAAAUAUUAUCCAAAAGGUAAUCUCUUGGAUAUGGUCUUCCCUUCGGACGCGUCUCCCGUUUGGCAAGGGAUUGAACAUGGGCUUGAGUUGUUAAAGAAGGACAUGAUAUGGAGAGUGGGAAAUGAUAAAAGUAUCCAGAUUCUUAGAGAUAAUUAG
rnacentral:rRNA from 1 species